rnacentral:rRNA from 1 species
CCGUAGCUGGUCUGAGAGGACGACCAGCCACACUGGAACUGAGACACGGUCCAGACUCCUACGGGAGGCAGCAGUGGGGAAUUUUGGACAAUGGGGGCAACCCUGAUCCAGCCAUUCCGCGUGAGUGAAGAAGGCCUUCGGGUUGUAAAGCUCUUUCGGCAGGAACGAAACGGUGGGUCCUAAUACGAUCUGCUACUGACGGUACCUGAAGAAGAAGCACCGGCUAACUACGUGCCAGCAGCCGCGGUAAUACGUAGGGUGCGAGCGUUAAUCGGAAUUACUGGGCGUAAAGCGUGCGCAGGCGGUUCUAUAAGACAGAUGUGAAAUCCCCGGGCUUAACCUGGGAACUGCGUUUGUGACUGUAGGACUCGAGUGUGGCAGAGGGGGGUGGAAUUCCACGUGUAGCAGUGAAAUGCGUAGAGAUGUGGAGGAACACCGAUGGCGAAGGCAGCCCCCUGGGUCAACACUGACGCUCAUGCACGAAAGCGUGGGG